AUUAGAUACCCUGGUAGUCCGCACGGUAAACGAUGGAUGCCCGCCGUUGGGUAUUUUUAUUCAGCGGCCAAGCGAAAGCGUUAAGCAUCCCACCUGGGGAGUACGCCGGCAACGGUGAAACUCAAAGGAAUUGACGGGGGCCCGCACAAGCGGAGGAACAUGUGGUUUAAUUCGAUGAUACGCGAGGAACCUUACCCGGGCUUGAAUUGCAGAUGACGGAUCCAGAGAUGGUGACUUCCUUCGGGACAUCUGUGAAGGUGCUGCAUGGUUGUCGUCAGCUCGUGCCGUGAGGUGUCGGCUUAAGUGCCAUAACGAGCGCAACCCCUUUCGUCAGUUGCCAUCGGGUAAUGCCGGGCACUCUGGCGACACUGCCGGCGCAAGCUGUGAGGAAGGCGGGGAUGACGUCAAAUCAGCACGGCCCUUACGUCCGGGGCGACACACGUGUUACAAUGGGUGGCACAGAGGGAAGCCAGGCGGCGACGCCGAGCGGAACCCGAAAUCCACUCUCAGUUCGGAUCGGAGUCUGCAACCCGACUCCGUGAAGCUGGAUUCGCUAGUAAUCGCGCAUCAGCCAUGGCGCGGUGAAUACGUUCCCGGGCCUUGUACACACCGCCCGUCAAGCCAUGGGAGCCGGGGGUACCUGAAGUCCGUAACCGCAAGGAUCGGCCUAGGGUAAAACUGGUGACUGGGGCUAAGUCGUAACAAGGUACC
rnacentral:rRNA from 1 species